rnacentral:lncRNA from 1 species
CAAGUUCAAUUUUAACGAAGCUCUUUUAGUUCCAAGAAACAGACACAGCCAGACCAGUCUGAAAAUUUUUAUUUUCUGAAAAAUGUAACUUGUAAGAACACACGUAGAGCAAAAGGGAGAAACUUGGAAAUUUUUACGCAAAAAACACCUAAGUAAAACCAUUCUUGAAAGGACACAUGAACAAAUUGAACCAGUCAGAGGGGAAAGAUCAGGAUGAUGAAGUGACUCAGAAAUCAGAUUCCAUUAUGACAUUAGUCUCUGGUCACAAUUAUCUGAAGCCUUGCAGGAUGCACCAUUCCACUUCAUCCUGUCUUCAUCACAAGAAGAAAAUCAGUGGUUCCUCUGCCUUGUUCCUCCUUCCAGUGGAUUGCAUAUCCAGAUAAUGUUGAACUUGGGAGCCUUCAUGCUUUGAUCAGUAAAAUCUUGAAUGAAUGGAAGUUGACAUAAGCUAAAGGAAUCAUCUUACACCAUGACAAAAUGGAGUAAGGCUGGAUCCCCAAAUCUCCAAUGUAACAAGCCUGGAACACUUAUGUGUAGAAUGCUCAGACUAUUAGUUGAGAGAAAAAUAAAAUUCCAUUUUGUUCAA